rnacentral:lncRNA from 1 species
AGAUAGUAGUAUAAGUGAUAGAGGGCUCAGUCAAGAAUCAGUGUCAGGCCAUUUCUAGAACUGAUCUAACUCAAAAGGCAGAUCAUGUUUAAUGAUGCUUUGCUGGAUAGCUUUGUUUGCAUAUGUUGACUGGAGCACACUGUGUCUAAGGAUGCCGCAGGUGAGGAGGAGGAGGAGGAUGGAGUCAGUGAAGCAGCCAGUCUAGAGGAACCUAAGGAAGAAGAUCAAGGAGAAGGCUAUUUGUCAGAAAUGGAUAAUGAACCCCCUGUAAGCGAGAGUGAUGAUGGCUUUAGCAUACACAAUGCUACCCUGCAGUCACAUACACUGGCAGACUCCAUCCCCAGCAGCCCUGCUUCUUCACAGUUGUAAGUAUCUGAAAUUCUUUUUUUUUUUUUUUUUGAGGCAACACAGUAAAGAUGAGAAGGAGGAGAAGAGAGGAUCUUUAUUCUUACUUUCUCAUCUUCCCUUUCUGGGCCUGGAACAAAUAGUUGACAAAAAAAUAAUUAGGACUUUCUUUUUUUUUUUUAAACUUGUGCCUGCUAGAACUCCUAUAUCUCUGUUUCAGCUCUGUCUGUAGUGAAGAUCAAGAAGCUAUUCAGGCCCAGAAAAUCUGGAAGAAAGCCAUCAUGCUUGUAUGGAGAGCUGCAGCUAACCAUAGGUAAGUGAGCCUUAUUAGUUUCUCUUGCUCCUCAUUGUUGGAGUGGUUUUCUGUGGGACUGCUGGUGUCUGCUCCUUACUACCUUCAGUUACUUAGAGUAAGCUUCCUCUCCUAUGCUUCCGGAAAAUAAAUCAGUAUUGCACCUCAUUCUUUUUGGACAGGUAUGCCAAUGUCUUCCUGCAGCCUGUUACAGAUGACAUAGCACCUGGCUACCACAGCAUUGUACAGAGGUAAGCCAUGGUUCCUCCAGUAUACUGACUUGCUUAAAUUGAAAGUCAUCCAGACUUAGUGAGUAUUUGUUUUAGAUAAUAAUAAGUUCAAAGUUAGCAUUUUUGAUGUAAGGGUAUCCACAUGCUAAAACCAUUCUAGUGACUGGAUCACCACUGAUUGUCUAAAAAAAUUAACACCCACAUACACACUUCACAGGCUGAGGUUGUAGCUCAGUGAUAGAGCACUUGCCUAGUAUGUAUGAACACCGGGUUUUAUUCUCAGCACCAAUAUAGAUAACUAAAAUAAAGGUCCAUUGAUAGCUGAAAAAUAUUUUUUAAAAAAUUAACCCCUUUAAUUACCUUUCUCACUGCUUAUUAUACAGACUGACCUUUUUGGAGCUAAGUUUAUGUUUUGGGAUGAGGGGUUGGCAUUAGAAUCCUGGAGGCUGAAAUUGAGAUAUAUAAGAAGUUGUAUAUCUUAAUAAUGUUUUCAGAAAUCCAGGCAAGUCCUCUUUCUACCUCCACUGCCAUUUUACCUCUUUUUUUUUUUUUUUUUAGGCCUAUGGAUUUGUCAACUAUUAAGAAAAACAUUGAAAAUGGACUGAUCCGCAGCACAGCUGAAUUUCAGCGUGACAUUAUGCUCAUGUUUCAGAAUGCUGUAAUGUAUAACAGCUCAGAUCAUGAUGUCUAUCACAUGGCAGUAGAGAUGCAAAGAGAUGUCUUGGAACAAAUCCAGGUACUUUGAGGCUCCUUUGUGUUUCAGCAAGGAUGAAGGGAAGGACUCAAAUUGAUGACAGGGAAGGGUGCCAUAGCUUUUACUUGAAAUAGCCAUAAGGAACGACGUUAGGAAUAUAACAUUUUUGUUCUUGUGCAAUUCGUGUUGAUUUUCUCCUUUGGGGGAAGGAGUUAGAAGAUUCUUCCUUUCUAUAACUACUUGGCAUGUGUGCAUAACAAAGAGAGUCUUCUCUGUUCCUUUUUAUCACAGGUAACUUGCUUCUAUCCUAUAGUUGCAUAACCAGGCAUCCUUUGGGAAGUUGACCUUGAAGGAAUAUUGUAUCUUUGCAUGUAUGCCAAAUUACUUGAAUUGCCCAAUGGUCUUGGUUCAUCCUAUAUUUAUUCUUUUUCUCAUUCUUAGAGGUUAGAGCUCUUUUGUUCUGUUUUUGAGGGUAGAGAUUUUGGUCCUAUUAUUAUAAACCUAUAUUAAAGCAAAAAAAGACAUUUUGACAUUUUCAAUUUCUUUAGAAUACCUAUUAUAACUAGAAUUAAAACCUAAUGUGGGGCUGGGUUGUGGCUUAGUGGUAGAGCGCUCGCCUAGCACAUGCAAGGCCCUGGGUUCGAUCCUUAGCACCACAUAAAUAAAAUAAAGAUAUUGUGUCCGACUUCAAAAAAUAAAUAUUAAAAAAAAAAAAAACGUAAUAUGCUGGGCUAGGGUUGUGCGGCUCAGUGGUAGAGCACUUUUCUAGCACACGUGAGGCAUUGGUUUGAUCCCCAGCACCACAUAGAAAUAAAUAAAGGUAUUGUGUCCAUCUACAACUAAAAAAAAAAGAUUUUUUAAAGGGGGAAAAAACAACAAAAGCCUUAAAAAAUAAUAAUAAUAAAAAAAACCUAAUGUGCUAAACUUCCAAUAAGGCAAAAAACUUUUGAUGCUGGAUGCAGUGUUAUAUACCUAUAAUACAUAUACCAGGUACUUGGGAAGCUGAGGCAGGGGGGUUGCAAAUUUGAGGUUAGCCUUGGCAACAUAGUGAGACUGUGCCUCAAAAAAUAAAGAUAAAAAGGACUGGAGGUGUGACUCACUUGUAAAGCACCCCUAAAUUCAAACAAAAGCAAACAAACAAAACUUAAAGUGUCUUAAUUUUUUCCUACUAUAUCAGGUCUCUGGCCAACCCUGUUUCUUUUCCCUAUAGCAAUUCUUGGCCACACAGUUGAUUAUGCAAACAUCUGAGUCUGGAAUCAGUGCUAAAAGUCUUCGAGGAAGAGAUUCUACUCGAAAACAAGAUGCUUCAGAGAAGGUGAGGUGAUAGAUCAGAAAAGAGACUAUUCACCAGUAUUCCAGUGCUAAAAGUCUGAAGUAUUCAAAGAACCUUAUGUUAGUACUUGGUAUUGCCAAGCUUCUGCAUUCUAAUGGUGCACAGAAACAGAUCAUAGAAUAGUAGUUGUUUGCUCCUAUCCAAACAAAGAAAUAUGCUGUUAACUGAGAGGCCCAGUAACAUGGCAGAAAUUUUGAACUGAGUGAAUGAAAUAUUAAUUCCUUUUGGGAGAGUACUCUCAAGGGGGUGGGGGGAAUUGACCUAGCUUGCAGCAGUUAGGUACCAUCAAUUCCUGUUCCACAAACAUGAUGACUAGAUUGCUUUUGUAUCUCUUUCCUCUUAUUCUUGGGUUUUUAAAUUUUGUCUUUGUGUGUAUGGUGCUUGUGUCUCUGUCCUGAGGUUUGGGGUGCUUGCGGCUGAGAGUUUCCGUGGAACCUGAUCAGUGUUUGUUUGUCCUCUAACAGGACAGUGUCCCCAUGGGCUCUCCUGCCUUCCUUCUCUCUCUCUUUGUAAGUAUUGAAUGGCUGCAAAGGGUGGUGUUGCCAGAAAGGUUCUCAGCUCCUGCUGGGGGUGGGUGGCAGAGGGAAGUCCAACACAUAGACUGUGGCAAUAUCUUAAACUUCUGUUUACUUAGGUGGAAUAAGAAACUGUCUUUUCUUCUGCGUUUCUGUCUUCUUGCAUGUGUGUGUGUGUGGGCUGGGUAGGGAAUGUUGAUGGUAUCACUGAGGUAUUCUUGGGGUAACGAUCUAGGAUGCACCUGCUCUUCAUUUCUUGACUCCACCACUUACUAAUUCUUUACUUACAAAUAGAAAAUUACUUAGAGCAGCAGAUACUACCCGACUUUUUAUUGGUGUUCUUUAUACUGGCAGAUAUUUAGCAAGUACUUUUCUCCUUUCUCUUAAAAUAAACUUUCAAAAAUAAUCCCUGAUACACAAACACUCAGUAAAACUUAAGCUAAAGAUCUCAGUAUUAAUGCCCACUAUAAACAGUAGUGGCUGGUGGAAUUAGAGGUAAGCUUAGUAGAACUAGCCUAAAAACUUGUAUUCCUUUCCUCCAUGAAUUAAAUGAUUCUCUUAUUCUGUGUGGUUCAUUAUAGAACAUGAGGCAUACUAUACUGGAAGGGCAUCAGGCUAAAAAACUAUAUGGUCUUAAGAUCAUUGGGUAAUUUCUUGGGGCCUUGUUUCCUCCUCUGUGUGAUAGAACUAAUAUAUAAUGAGUUACCUGUCCAGCCUACCUCACAGGGUUGUUGUGAGGAUAAAAUGAGAAUGAUAAUUAUGAAACUGGCUUUAAAAAAAUUAAAGUGUGUAUAUAAACGCAAGGUGGUAUUUUUGUUCUUACAAAAGUUACCUCAUAGGUAACUUAGGUUCAUGAGCUCAAAAUAUUUUAGAAUCCUUGCAUAUUAGAAAUGUAAAAAUGGUCUGGCCCAGCAAAAGUGUUCACUAGUUCAUCUUGCCUACAGGCCUUUCAGCCUGUACCACAGACAGAACACUAUGGUCUCCGUUCUUUCUUAUUGGCCUGCAACAGUGACUCUGGAUCACCAAGCAGUUGGCUGGCUAUUGCAAGGCUGGUUAAUAGGAUCUUUUAUCUAUUGAAGACAGCAAAGUAUUGCACAAGAGGAAGGAGCUGGGCUGCAGGGAGAGAGCAGCAGAUGGAAAGAAGCCUGAUUGUCCUGAUCUCAUGGAAAACAGCUGUCAGGAGGUGCUAGGGAACUAGUGCCAGGGUCAGUCUGCAGGAAAGGCCUUUCUUAUAGGGACCAACAGCUGGACAGGUAUGUUAGCCAAGAACCUCACUAUCCAAUUCCCUUUCUAACUUUCCCACCUUUAGUUUACUCUUCCUGUUCCUUUGCACAUGAUUUGGGCCUGGGUGGUAUGACUAACAGUCAUUCUGUGGGACCCCAGGUGAAUUCCAAGGACCUCUGUGAUGGUCAUGAUCCAGAUAAUCUGUCCUACAUUUCCUCUCACAAACUACGAGGUGUUUUUUUUAGCUACUCUGUGGGAAGAAAGAAAUAUGCCCCCUCGUCCCUCUGAAGUUUUGUGCUGAUUUUUUUUUCCCCUCUCCCCCACUAAACCAAAUCCCUGCAUUCCUGUUGCACCUUGUCUCUUAACUCUUAACCAGCUUAUUCAUACCCUCUUUCUUUCUCUGCUGUCAUCUAGGAUGGGGGCACCAGAGGACGCCGCUGUGCCAUUGAAGCAGACAUGAAGAUGAAAAAGUGAAGCCUCAAGAGUGUUCUCUUUGAGCUAAACCUGAAAUAGAAGUAAACAAGAUAGAGCUUGGGCUUGUGGGCCCUGUUCCAGAACUGGGAAUUACAGAAGAGGAGGCGCCCGGGCCGCAUGACAUGAGCUGGAAAAAUCUCUCUCAGAGAGUUGGAAGUAACACAUUUGCCUGUUUUAGGGCAAAAAUCGUGGGCUGUGUUAAUGCCCUCAUGUGUAGCUAGCAGAUUGUAGCUAGUUUGUACUGUCUUGUGAAGUGUACAGACUUUUUAAAAAUAAAUCUGUGAAGUGCGUGUGUAUACAAUAAAAUGAAAAAAAAAAAAUCUCUGGC